UCAAAAGAAGGAAAGAUAAAAGGUUAGCACUAUGUGGCUCCUUUUUGUGGGGGUAAGAUCAGAUUGCAUUGCCAUUUGUAAAUAUUUUUUGCUCGAGUUAGGGAAUCACUUAAGUUUGCUUUGUCAACAGGAUCUCCAUGUUCCACACUGAGAUUCUAAUAUCCUGAUUCAAGGAGUUCCUAAGACAUGCCCUCACAUUAUUUUUUUUUUAUUUAACCAUAUA
rnacentral:lncRNA from 1 species